ACGGAAGGCAGCAGUAGGGAAUAUUGGGCAAUGGAGGCAACUCUGACCCAGCAACGCCGCGUGAAGGAAGAAGGCCUUCGGGUUGUAAACUUUUGUUGUGAAGGAAGAAGAAAGUGACGGUACUUCACAAGGAAGCCCCGGCUAACUAUGUGCCAGCAGCCGCGGUAAUACAUAGGGGGCGAGCGUUGUCCGGAAUCACUGGGCGUAAAGGGAGCGUAGGCGGAAAUUUAAGUUAAGUGUGAAAGCCUUGGGCUUAACCCGAGAACUGCACUUAAUACUGGGUUUCUAGAGUGUUGGAGAGGUAAGCGGAAUUCCUAGUGUAGCGGUAGAAUGCGUAGAUAUUAGGAGGAACAUCUGAGGCGAAGGCGGCUUACUGGACAAUAACUGACGCUGAGGUUCGAAAGCGUGGGGAGCAAACAGGAUUAGAUACCCUGGUA
rnacentral:rRNA from 1 species